rnacentral:rRNA from 1 species
AUUCCAGCUCCAAUAGCGUAUAUUAAAGUUGUUGUGGUUAAAAAGCUCGUAGUUGGAUUUCGGCGGGUAUUGGUCGGUUUGAAUUGCUUCAAUACUGACUUUUUUACCCGUGUGUUUUGCCAGAAUUUAACGGGUGAUCUUCGCCGAUUGUCUGUUAGAACUGGCAGGUUUACUUUGAAAAAAUUAGAGUGCUCAAAGCAAGCUUGAUUGCUUGAAUAUUCGUGCAUGGAAUAAUAGAAUAGGAAGUCGUUUCUAUUUUGUUGGUUUUCGGAAAUCGACUUAAUGAUUAAUAGGGACAGUCGGGGGCAUUUGUAUUCAAACGACAGAGGUGAAAUUCUUGGACCGUUUGAAGACAAACUACUGCGAAAGCAUUUGCCAAGAAUGUUUUCAUUA